UACGGAGGGGGCUAGCGUUGUUCGGAAUUACUGGGCGUAAAGCGCGCGUAGGCGGACCUGCAAGUCGGGUGUGAAAGCCCUCAGCUCAACUGAGGAAGUGCGCCCGAAACUGCAGUGCUUGAGUACCGGAGAGGAUGGCGGAAUUCCCCAAGUAGAGGUGAAAUUCGUAGAUAUGGGGAGGAACACCGGUGGCGAAGGCGGCCAUCUGGACGGAUACUGACGCUGAGACGCGAAAGCGUGGGUAGCAAACAGG
rnacentral:rRNA from 1 species